CUACGGGAGGCAGCAGUGGGGAAUAUUGGACAAUGGGCGAAAGCCUGAUCCAGCAAUGCCGCGUGAGUGAUGAAGGCCUUAGGGUUGUAAAGCUCUUUUACCCGGGAUGAUAAUGACAGUACCGGGAGAAUAAGCCCCGGCUAACUC
rnacentral:rRNA from 1 species